rnacentral:misc_RNA from 1 species
AAACUACGUUAAACGGUGUGAAUUGCAGAACACGCAGAACACUGGAACUUUGAACGCACAUUGCAGGUUAGUGUUAUAGCUAACCUUUGUCUGUGUGAGGGUUGUAAUCAGAGAAUAAAGGCUAGUUGUGGAAAGGCGGGGAGGUUGCCUGUUAAAUGUGUGACAUGCCCGCUGAUCGCAUUGAAAACACACUCGUGUUGCGCCUCUGGCCAGCGUCGGAGGCAACUGGACGAGUGUAGGAAUGGGGAGUUUGCUGGAGUUGGUGUGCUGUUGAGGGCGCACCUAGAAACAGUAGUUCCCUAUCCUGCGUAUUCUCCUCACAACCUCACAUCAGGCAAGGUUACCCGCUUAAUUUAA